UACGGAGGGUGCGAUCGUUAAUCGGAAUUACUGGGCGUAAAGCGCGCGUAGGCGGUUUGUUAAGUCGGAUGUGAAAUCCCCGGGCUCAACCUGGGAACUGCACCCGAUACUGGCCGACUUGAGUGCGAGAGAGGGAGGUAGAAUUCCACGUGUAGCGGUGAAAUGCGUAGAUAUGUGGAGGAAUACCGGUGGCGAAGGCGGCCUCCUGGCUCGACACUGACGCUGAGGUGCGAAAGCGUGGGGAGAAAACAGG
rnacentral:rRNA from 1 species